rnacentral:rRNA from 1 species
GAUGAACGCUAGCUACAGGCUUAACACAUGCAAGUCGAGGGGAAACGAUAGAGAAAGCUUGCUUUUUCUAGGCGUCGACCGGCGCACGGGUGAGUAACGCGUAUCCAACCUGCCCAUCACUUGGGGAUAACCCUUGCGAAAGUAAGACUAAUACCCAAUGACGUCUCUAGAAGACAUCUGAAAGAGAUUAAAGAUUUAUCGGUGAUGGAUGGGGAUGCGUCUGAUUAGCUUGUUGGCGGGGUAACGGCCCACCAGGGCGACGAUCAGUAGGGGUUCUGAGAGGAAGGUCCCCCCACAUUGGAACUGAGACACGGUCCAAACUCCUACGGGAGGCAGCAGUGAGGAAUAUUGGUCAAUGGACGAGAGUCUGAACCAGCCAAGUAGCGUGCAGGAUGACGGCCCUAUGGGGUUGUAAACUGCUUUUAUAAGGGAUAAAGUGAGUCUCGUGAGACUUUUUGC